AUCUUUGCACAGUGACAGUAUCAUAGCCAAUGAGGUUUAUUCGAGGCACGAUUAUUGCUAAUUGAAAAGUAAUUAAUAGUAUGCUUAGGAUUAAAUCAUCUACAGAUCUACAGAUUUUUUGUAACUAUGUGAUCUUG
rnacentral:snRNA from 1 species